GCAAUAGUCUUUCAUCGCAAGCCUCCAGAGAUCAAGUUCUUCCUUGGGAACAGAGAGUGUCUGUCCUCAGCAGAGGUUCCAACCUGUGCUCCUGCCCAGGUCAACUGAGAAAGCUUCAGUACUGUCUCCACCAUACCGAAGAGGCAUCCCCAGUGGCUAAGUGUCACUCAGCAAACGAAGCUGUUGCAUACUUAGCCACGCUUUGCUGCUCCAGAGAGUUCUUCAUCCUUUGAUAUCCGCAGGCGCACAACAUGAGAGGGAAGAGAUAAACUAAGGAUACAUUGUUGGGUAGAGACAAGUAAUCAUGGAAAAUGAGCUCUGGGAUAAGUGGUUCUAAGAAUCUCAAGGAGUAUACUUCCUCCAAGACUUCUAACUUAUGGAACUGCAGAAGGGCAUACUUCUGUGAUGGUAAGUCAUGUAUUUUGGGUCAUUUUGAUAUGGUAGCCUUAGGAAAUAAAUACAAAUCUAUUUAGAAAGUGUGCUUUAAUAACUAUUUGAAAUAUUUGGAUAACUAUAUGUAAAAGAACAAAACUGGGUCUUACCUCACCCCAUAUAUAAAAAUUAAUUAAAAAUUGAUCUUAGACAUGCAUUAAAGUUAUUAAAGAUGUAAAGUUAUUAAUCCCAUAGCAGAAAGCAUAAACAUUUGUGACCUCAAAAUAAGUAACUUUCUUUUCUAUGAAAUAAAAAGUACAAGAGGCAGAGCACCUUCAGCAAAAUUUCAAAGCUGAAAUCUGUCUUCAAAAAUAUCUUCAAGGAUAUGAAAGUGAAGAACUGAGAAUCUUUACAGGUCAUGGUAAGGAAUUCUCAUCAUGUACACACAGAAACAUAUGCAUGUGCAUGCACACGGGUGUAUGCAUACACAUACAUAUUUUACAAGCCAAGCAUAAAAGACAUCAUAAUUCCUAAUAUCUGAAGACAAUUUGAGUAGACCUUCCUUCAAAAAAAAAGUUAUAAGAAAACAAGUACAGGAUGCAUGAAGGGUGCUUAAAACCAUUAGUCCUUUGGGAUAUGCAAAUCAAUGGCACAAGGGAAAAGAGAAGUAGGAAAGAGUGGACAUCAACAGUAGAGGCACUGGGUAAAUGUGCAAACACUCGAGUUCUUAUCCUACAGGUUGGGGGGUGAAAUACUGUAGCCAUUUUGGAAAACAGUUUGGCAUCUCUACAAACAGUAAAAAUCAUGUUGCCACAUCGCCCAUAAAAUUUACUCCUAAUGGUAUUCAGAAGAAUGAAAAACAUGUCCACAGCAGCAUUGGUCAUCAUAUUUUAUUUGACCUUCUAACUUGAGUGAGACAAAACUGUAAGUAAUUCUAAUUUGCAUUUCCCCGAUAACUGAAGGUAUUGAACAUUUCUUUAAAUGUUUCUCAGCUAUUUCUUUCAGUUUGAUUUGAAUCUGGUGGGAGGGGAACAUGAAUUCACUGCUGGAGGAAGUGAAAACUGGUGUAGGCAAUAUGACAGUCAAUGUGGAGGUUCAACAUAAAGCUAAAAUUAGAUCUACCACAUGAUUCAGCUAUUCCAUACAUUGGUAUGUAGCCAAAUGACUCUGUUUCCUGCAAUACAGAUACUUGCUCAUCCAUGUUCAUUGUCGCUAUAUUCAU